rnacentral:rRNA from 1 species
GUCUACAGCCAUGCCACCCUGAACAUGCCCGAUCUCAUCUGAUCUCGGAAGCUAAGCAGAGUCGGGCCUGGUUAGUACUUGGAUGGGAGACCAUCUAGGAAGACCAGGUGCUGUAGGCA